ACACGUAGGGGCCUGACGUUGCUCGGAAUCAUUGGGCGUAAAGGGCGCGCAGGCGGCCGUCCAAGUCCGGUGUUAAAUGGUCGGGCUCAACCCGAUCAUGCGCUGGAAACUGGGCGGCUGGAGUCCCGGAGGGGAUGCCGGAAUUCCAGGUGUAGGGGUGAAAUCUGUAGAUAUCUGGAAGAACACCGAUGGCGAAGGCAGGCAUCUGGCCGGAGACUGACGCUGAGGCGCGAAGGCGCGGGGAGCGAACAGGUUUAGAUACCCUGGUAGUCCGCGCAGUAAACGAUGCGCACCAGGUGUCGGGCGGCAGCGCCCGGUACCGGAGCAAACGCGAUGAGUGCGCCGCCUGGGGAGUAUGCCCGCAAGGGUGAAACUCAAAUGAAUUGACGGGG
rnacentral:rRNA from 1 species